GAUGAACGCUGGCGGCGUGCCUAAUACAUGCAAGUCGAGCGAACAGACGAGGAGCUUGCUCCUCUGACGUUAGCGGCGGACGGGUGAGUAACACGUGGUUAACCUACCUAUAAGACUGGGAUAACUUCGGGAAACCGGAGCUAAUACCGGAUAAUCUAUUGAACCGCAUGGUUCAAUAGUGAAAGACGGUUUUGCUGUCACUUAUAGAUGGAUCCGCGCCGCAUUAGCUAGUUGGUAAGGUAACGGCUUACCAAGGCAACGAUGCGUAGCCGACCUGAGAGGGUGAUCGGCCACACUGGAACUGAGACACGGUCCAGACUCCUACGGGAGGCAGCAGUAGGGAAUCUUCCGCAAUGGGCGAAAGCCUGACGGAGCAACGCCGCGUGAGUGAUGAAGGUCUUCGGAUCGUAAAACUCUGUUAUUAGGGAAGAACAAAUGUGUAAGUAACUAUGCACGUCUUGACGGUACCUAAUCAGAAAGCCACGGCUAACUACGUG
rnacentral:rRNA from 1 species